rnacentral:tRNA from 1 species
CCGAGAUAGCUCAGCC